rnacentral:rRNA from 1 species
UACGGGGGGGGUAAGCGUUGUUCGGAAUUACUGGGCGUAAAGGGCUCGUAGGCGGCCAACUAAGUCAGACGUGAAAUCCCCCGGCUUAACCUGGGAACUGCGUCUGAUACUGGACGGCUUGAGUAUGGGAGAGGGAUGUAGAAUUCCAGGUGUAGCGGUGAAAUGCGUAGAUAUCUGGAGGAAUACCGGUGGCGAAGGCGGCAUCCUGGACCAUUACUGACGCUGAGGCGCGAAAGCUAGGGGAGCAAACGGG